rnacentral:misc_RNA from 1 species
AAGUCGUAACAAGGUCUCCGUAGGUGAACCUGCGGAGGGAUCAUUACUGAGUUAUUACAACUCCAACCCAUGUGAACUUACCACUGUUGCCUCGGCGCAGAGGCCUGCUGAGACUCGUUUUCAGUGGGUGGAUGCGCCGGUGGACUACUAAACUCUUGUUAAUUUUGGUAUUCUGAAUCUAAAACUUAAUAAGUUAAAACUUUCAACAACGGAUCUCUUGGUUCUG